rnacentral:rRNA from 1 species
CCCGGGCCUUGUACACACCGCCCGUCACGUCAUGAAAGUCGGUAACACCCGAAGCCCAUGGCCCAACCUCGUAAGGGGAGGGAGUGGUCGAAGGUGGGACUGGCGAUUGGGACG